rnacentral:rRNA from 1 species
UGGGGAAUCUUAGACAAUGGGGGCAACCCUGAUCUAGCCAUGCCGCGUGAGUGAUGAAGGCCUUAGGGUUGUAAAGCUCUUUCAGCUGGGAAGAUAAUGACGGUACCAGCAGAAGAAGCCCCGGCUAACUCCGUGCCAGCAGCCGCGGUAAUACGGAGGGGGCUAGCGUUGUUCGGAAUUACUGGGCGUAAAGCGCACGUAGGCGGACCGGAAAGUUGGGGGUGAAAUCCCGGGGCUCAACCUCGGAACUGCCUUCAAAACUACUGGUCUGGAGUUCGAGAGAGGUGAGUGGAAUUCCGAGUGUAGAGGUGAAAUUCGUAGAUAUUCGGAGGAACACCAGUGGCGAAGGCGGCUCACUGGCUCGAUACUGACGCUGAGGUGCGAAAGCGUGGGGAGCAAACA